rnacentral:rRNA from 1 species
UAGGGAAUCUUCCGCAAUGGGCGAAAGCCUGACGGAGCAACGCCGCGUGAGUGAUGAAGGUCUUCGGAUCGUAAAACUCUGUUAUUAGGGAAGAACAAAUGUGUAAGUAACUAUGCACGUCUUGACGGUACCUAAUCAGAAAGCCACGGCUAACUACGUGCCAGCAGCCGCGGUAAUACGUAGGUGGCAAGCGUUAUCCGGAAUUAUUGGGCGUAAAGCGCGCGUAGGCGGUUUUUUAAGUCUGAUGUGAAAGCCCACGGCUCAACCGUGGAGGAUCAUUGGAAACUGGAAGACUUGAGUGCAGAAGAGGAAAGUGGAAUUCCAUGUGUAGCGGUGAAAUGCGCAGAGAUAUGGAGGAACACCAGUGGCGAAGGCGACUUUCUGGUCUGUAACUGACGCUGAUGUGCGAAAGCGUGGGGAUCAAACAGG